rnacentral:rRNA from 1 species
GACGAACGCUGGCGGCGUGCCUAAUACAUGCAAGUUGAGCGCUGAAGGUUGGUACUUGUACCAACUGGAUGAGCAGCGAACGGGUGAGUAACGCGUGGGGAAUCUGCCUUUGAGCGGGGGACAACAUUUGGAAACGAAUGCUAAUACCGCAUAAAAACUUUAAACACAAGUUUUAAGUUUGAAAGAUGCAAUUGCAUCACUCAAAGAUGAUCCCGCGUUGUAUUAGCUAGUUGGUGAGGUAAAGGCUCACCAAGGCGAUGAUACAUAGCCGACCUGAGAGGGUGAUCGGCCACAUUGGGACUGAGACACGGCCCAAAAUCCUACGGGAGGCAGCAGUAGGGAAUCUUCGGCAAUGGACGAAAGUCUGACCGAGCAACGCCGCGGGAGUGAAGAAGGGUUUCGGAUCGUAAAACUCUGUUGGUAGAGAAGAACGUUGGUGAGAGUGGAAAGCUCAUCAAGUGACGGUAACUACCCAGAAAGGGACGGCUAACUACGUG